AUGCAGCAGCUGCUAGGACAGAUGCGCUGGACAGUCCUCAAGGACAAUAAAAAUUGUAGAAUAGUGAUGUGACGUUCAUGAACACAUCAAAGGGCUUUAAAAGUGAACAAUGAGAGCCGAGUCCUUGUAGAGAACUAUUCAUCUUGUCUUCAUAAAGCAACUGCUACAGACCACUGACACAGCCACACAGCAACAGCCUGGCCAGAAUAGCAACUUUUACCCUGAUUAGUACUUAAACACUGAAUGACACAGUAAAUACCCUAAAUUCUUCUACAUGUUGUCAGGACAGCCUGCCUACAAACUUCUUUAACUCAUUCACUGCCAGCCGUUUCCUGAUCAGUAAAUCCCUUCGCUGCCAGCGUUGCACACUAGGAUGAUGUCAAUACCAAAACAAAGCGGAGACUCGCCUCUUACAUCAGGAAGAAUCCGCACAUUUCGAACGUUACCCGUUCUUUCAAAAUCUGUUGUUGAAUUGUGAUCGGCAGAAGCUUUUCCAGUUUGCGCCUCACUUUUACAGCAGCGGCCCAAAACAAUCUCCUAACAUGGAUUUUCUGCCUCCUGUGACGUGUGACCAUAGACUGUACAUACUGGACAAAACGAUUCCAUAGGCUCCAAUAACACGUUUUUUGUCUAUAAUGGGAGGUGGCCACCACCACCAUUUUGACCGUGUCACAGGUUCCGUCCAGCCCAGACAAUUCCAUAAAAGGGAAGAGAGGAGGAGCUGAGGGUGGGGCUGUAAGGCUGGGAUCGAGUGACGACACCCAGGCGAACUAGCUACGAGCUAACCUGAAGCUAACCCUGGCUAACCCAAAGCUAAAGCGGAGGUGGGAGCCGAGCUAACGGAUGUAGCCACCUAGCUUCAACCCAACCGGAGCUAACUGGAACACCCAUCGACCUGAACCUUACACGGAGUUUAGGUGGAGGUUUUCGGCGCCUGUUCGUGAAAAGUACCUGGAUUAAAAAAGUAUUAAAUCGGUAAGUUUAUAAUUUAUUUCCGUAAUGAAAACAUUUUGCUUUGAGCAAGUUUUUAGUACCGUGUUUUCCGGGCUAUUGGCCCUGAGUCGCACCAGCCAUUAAAUGUAUAAUGAAGAAGAGAAAAUGUAUUUAAGUCGUAUUUUGGGGGGACAUUUUAUUAUUUUUCUUACAAAAUCUGAGACCAAGUGUUUCACAUUGCAAGACAAGCACCGGUAACCAUAACAGAAUGAACAACCGCGCGCCUCGGGUCAGAGUCGGCCCGCAGCAGCGCGGUGUAGCCUACAUAUUUUGUUAUAUAAGUCACUCCGGAGUAUAAGUAGCAGGUCCAGCCAGAUUAUGUAAAAUAGUGUGAGUUAUAGUCUGGAAAAUAUGGCAGUUAUUAGUAUUCGAGCUAAAUUAGCAGCCUAAAUACAUUUCAUAUAUUUCCAAAACGUAAUACUUGUUUGUAUCUUGUACAGCCAAGUAGCCUUUAUUCUGGACUCAGUACAAUUCAAAAGUAAAGAGACAUUAUACAGAUGAAGUAAGCACAAGAUAACUUACUGGAAGACACGGAAUUAUCAUGAGAACCAGAACAAGAGAGCCUGAUAACAGUCAUGUGAAAAUAACAGUUAAAAAGUAUGUAUGUGUAAUAGAAAUAAAAAUAUAUUAGAAUUAGUGUAACUCACUGUGUUCCAAACAAUAAAUCAGCCAUAGCUGAUUAGUAAAUAUGACAUGAGGUCUGGGAGUUUUUAAGUUUCAUUCUUUUAUUACAUUUUUUUCUUAGAUCUAUUAAAAGGUCACCAUGGCAACCUGUGUCUCCAACAUCAGCUACUCAACGCAGCAAGUCCAUUUGGAUCAUUGGAGACAGCUACGUGAGGCGUGGUGCCCAGAGAGCUGCAGAGACCGUCGGACACAACCUUGGCCUCCCUGACGUCUGUGUCUCCUGGUUCGGUUGGGGCGGACCAUCGACAUACAUACAUGUGCCGACACUUUGCGCCCUGUUUUAUAAAAUGUAGUGUUAAAAAUAAAUGUUUUUGCUCAAUUACUGGAAUUUCUUUGGUUAAGACAAAAGUGAGGAAUAAUCAUUUACAAGUUAUUUGUACAACAGGCCCAUUUUAAAUCCCAGCAGUUUCUUAGCAGACAAUAGAAAUGUGUUCUUUACUAACUUCACUUGGUUUAAAAAUCUUACUAAAAUAAACAGAGUGCCGUAUUUCAAAACCCAAUCAUACUUGUUAUGUAAACAUUGGCUUUGUAGAUAUUUCUUACAGAUCUAUAUUUGUGUGCAACAAAAAUCAAACAAAUAAUUUGUCAUUCUUUAUUGAAAAACAAUAAAAUACAGUUAUACAGAAAGUGUGGGAAAAUGAUUAUGUGAAAGUAUUGCUCUUUAAAUGAAGAAAAGAAAAACUCUAAAAAUGUCAUGUACAGCAACAUGACAGAAGAAUGGUGGUCUGUCUGUCAGAAUGUGCUGAACAGAUUUGCUCUAUCAAGAGGAGCCUUAAUGUGUACGAGGUUCCCCUUGAGUAAUAUUGGUUUGGGUUAUGUAUCGCCACAUCAGCAUGUAAAUGCUGAACCAAUCUGGAAUAAAGACUGCUGAUAGAGGAUAAACAAGUAAAUAAGAGGAAAAAUUAAUACAACUAGGAAACCAACAUAAAAAAACAGCAACCAGCAGCUGCACCUGUGAAGAAACAUUUCUAAGAGUCAUCAAGAAAACGUGGGAUGAACAACUAUAAACAUGUAAACCAUGAACCACAAAUAUGAACAACAAACAUUGACAAGCAUGUGUUCGUGCGUGUGCUGGGAUGUGAAGUGUUAGACUGGAUCAGGUGCACUCUGGAACCGCCACAAGCACCAGAAAACCUUGCUACAGAGAACUCAGCAAGGCCACAUCCAGAACCGGGCUGACACAGGUCAUGGGCCUCAGGACACAGGAAUCACACAGCAUUUCCACCUGAAACAGAAUCAUUAAAAUUAGAAUCAAAUACAACAGUUGUUCAGUAUGACAUCAAAAGGAUUUUUAAAGAAGGCAAUUGGACUUCUUUGGUUUCAUGAAUAUAGGAGGGUUGAUCUUAAGCCUGAUUCAUGCUUCUCCUGCGUCAGUGCGGAGACACGCAACUCCAUUAUCCGUCCUUGCGUAGGGCCCCAGCAGGCACGCAAGUACGCACGGAGUCGAGCCCACUUUUUUAAACAUCUGUUUAACGAGACGGACAGCGCAAGCUUGUGAUUGGUCAGGAUGCCGUUGUCGUCUACAGCGCCGCCAUUGCGCACUCAAAAACAAAGAGCCGAGGAUAACUAGCGACAGACACGGAGAAACUUGAAGAACACCUCACAAAAACCUCUAAAAACAUGAACGUGUUUAUUCCCCGUGACUGGAGGCGUGAAACGAUCCACAGCAAGCGUUUUAUUUGUAGACGGAAAUGACAGGAAUCGUGGGUUUAGAGGUGGCUAGCCCGUGAAGAGGUGUAGGAGAAUGAGCCAAAUUUGUCUGUUAAAAAGUCUGUUAUGUACAAAAAACACAAUAUCAUCACACUAUUUUGGACCGAUACAUGACAGGAUACCACAGAACAGCUCUCCGCCCUCUGCUGUCCGGUCCGGGAAUUGCUUUGCAACACUCCCCAGGAGACGGAGAAGUAUGAGAGCUAAACGUCUCCGUCCGUGCGUGCGUGUCUCUCCCUGUUGGAGCUGACAGAGAAGCAUGAAUCAGGCUUUAUUGUAGCUGUCAAUUGUUGCUUGAUAAGCAGAAACUGUCACCUUCAAAACACCUCCUCUGCACAGGUGUUUCUUUGUAAUUAGGAACAGGAAUAAAGUUAUAGAGGUCAGAAGGUAAAAGAUCAGCUUAAAUUAAUUUCACCAUUGGAACAAAGGAUGUUGUGUAGGCGUGAGAUCACCAAAGAUGAUAGGGUCUUUUAAAUCUUACUUUCAGAUAAGCUGAUGACGUUCAAAACUUACCUUGUCAUUCCUACUUACCUGUUCUUCCCUUCUUGGAACAGGUUUUUUGACCUUAAAGGACGAGAAGAUUGUAGGUACGGCUGUGUCCUUCAGGCAAACUCUCCCCUAAAAUAAAAAAACAUAAUUACUUAAUUAAAAAAAAAGAGAUUCACAUAUACACACAUCAGACAAGGUCAGCUUCUGAAGAACACACUGGUACACCAGAGCACUGUGUGUGUGUGAGUGAAUGUGCUUGCAUGUGUGUGUGUGUGUGUGUGUGUGUGUGUGUGUAAAAGGCAUGUGUAGUGUUUGUUAUUUAUAAAGCAUAUGUUGUUGGAUUUUAUCCAGAAUCGAGACUUUGAAAAUAUAUAGUUUAAUUACAGUUUGAUUUAUUUGACAUCUGUAUAAUGUUUAUUAUUUUGUUUUUCCCCCUAAAUGCCUAACGUUUUAGUUUAACAUGAAUAUUUGUCAUUCAUCCCAAUACAUAAAGUUACACAUUAAAGACUGUCCAAAAAUUAAUUUGUUUCUCUGAGUAAUUAACCAUAGAAUUAGAUGGAAAUUAAUAACAUGAUUGUUUCUCAUCUAAACAGCCCUAGUCACAGACAAUUCAAGGGUGGGGAAGAUUUUCUUCUAGUUACACAGCAAUGUAACGUCGGUAUGUUAUACAGCUAAUGCUUCAAUUUUUUAAAUCUCAACCAAAAUAUGAAGUCAUGUGUUUGUACCCUGGAGUCUGUGGUGAAGUGAUGACUCUCAAAGUGUUCACUGCACAAGCGGGAGAAUGAAUUGGGAGUCCAGCACUCUCUUCUUUGGUUGCUCACCCAAAGGUCAAGCCUCUCUGGAUCACCUAGAGGAAAACUUCAUACAAAGAACUAAUUAAGUAUAUGGCUUUAACAUACUUACCGGAAAUUACUGACUCGAGCGUACUGCAAUAUAAGCCUCACACCCCCCC